rnacentral:lncRNA from 1 species
GCAUUUACUGUCAUAAAUUAUACCUGAUUUGUUAAAUCUCUUACCAAAAUAAGCAAAUCAUUUUGUAAAUUUAUUCGUAUUCUAGCAGGAACUGCAAUGCAGAUAUAAAAUCAGUGUUAUUCCAGACAAAACCUUUAUUCACAACAUUGGGUGUGAUUAUUCAAAGUUUCAAUUCAUUGUACCUAAAUUGAAACAAUUUACUACAACACAACCUUUGUUAUAUUUUAAACAUAAUCUUUCAUGCAUUUUCUAAUCCCGCAGCAACGCGCGGGUAGUACUUUCUAGUAUUAACCUAAGGUCCAACCCCUUAACCCAAGCCCAGACUUUAAGACCCAACCCAGUUUUCAAACCGGGCUUUCAAGCCCAAAUCCUUAAAACCCAAAGCCCAAAACCCUCUUUAUUUAUUUAAAUUUUGUUUUUAUUUUAUUGUUUUGAAACCCAAAACAUUUGGGCCAGGCUUCAAUGCCUAGCCCAUUUAGAAACCCUAAAACCCUAGGCCCAACCCGGUCCAACCCAAACCCUUUGACCCGGUUUGACUUGUUGACCGGCUAACGGUCAACGUUGACUUUUCGUAGACCUUUUUUUUGAGUUUUGUUUGGGACUUCUCAUAAGCUAAUUACGACGUCUUGAACCCGUUUAUGGCGUCUGCUUCCUAAAAUUCAUUCGUUUGAGUAUAGCUUUGUUAAGUGUACUCUUUAUGUGUUUAGGUGCAAUUAAUAGUGACGAUUCCGUUAUUUCCUAUUGGUAAGGCUUUGUACCAACGAUGUAUGGUGAUUGGACCCCUUCUAAAAUACAUGUUUUAUAGUAGAAACACAUACAUGAAAAACAUGAUUUAAUGAUUACAUUUUAUGAGAAAUUGAUUAUCAUGCUAUAUUGAGCUUACUUUGAAAUACCAUAUUUUCUAUCAAAAUCAUGUUCUUGUAGGGUAUCUAAUGGAUGACGAUAUACUAUGUAGAACAUGUUUUUAUAACACUUAUUUAUAGUAUAGAUGAUGAAUGACUUUAUACUAUGAAGAUGCUUUUGAAAUAUAUGUACCUAUGUUUUGGAAAUAAUAUGUUCAAUGAUUUUGUGCAUAUCUAAUGGUCACUAUAUAUAUUGCCUUCGGGCGGGCGUGUGUAGGGCACUGUUUUGUGCAUAAGAGAGAUACUGAUAUUGAUACCACUAGUUAGCAUACUACAUAUGAGAUACGUUUUGUAAUGUUUUAUGGCAUGCUAGGGUUUUCGGAAAAACCUAUUAUAUAUUAUACUAUUGAGAUUUCAUAAAACUGUAGGGGUUAGUAUGUUGAUAACUGUUUUAUUAUAUAUAUAUAUAUAUCAAUUUGGUUCAUUCAUGUUUGUUUUGCGCCUCUUUGAGGAUUUAGAAUCGAGACAUACAAUCCCAGCGUUAAGGCACUUCCGCAUCGAUAUCUUCGAGUCUUUUCGGUGUAGGACCCAUCCCUUUGUUCGUUCUAUUUUAUAUUUUUUUUAGUGUUCUAGUUAGUUGUAUGCUCUGAACACGUUUCUUAAAUGCAUAUUAAUUACCAUUAAAUUCAUAAGUCUUAUUUAUUCCUCGUUCUCAUGCAUUUCUAAAUGGCUUGCGUCACCCUCGGGUGUCGGCCAGCACGUGACCAUCUCGAUAUCCUGAGGAUAUCGAGAUUGGGGCGUGUCACUUUGUUUGGUUGGACUUGUUGUGUAAUAUUGAUAGAGCAUUGAUAUGCCAAUCCUAUACAUAUUUACUCCUCUCAUUUAUGCCAAACCUACACAAGUACAUGUACUUGUGGUAAGGUGAGUCCGGCAAGGCACACAGUGACAUUGUAAACACAAUUAUCUUCUUUGCAUGGAUCAGAUUAUACCACAUCUUACUUGACUCUGGGGUUGUCCACAACCACACCUUAAACCUUCCUUUGAAAAGUUGGGAGUAGAGAUGGGCAACGGUUAUGGCAAGAGGGUAAUCGCGAUUAUUUACCCAUAACCGUUUAUGUUUAUACCCGCAUAACCAUUUACCCGUUGGAUAAUUACAUAAAUGGUUAUACCCAUAACCAUAACCGUUUAUAAACGGUUAUCCAUACCCAUAACCGUGUACUCAUUUACCCAUAACCAUUUACCUAUUUAACUCACCCCAUUCUUCUUCAUCUUUUCUAAAAGAAAACCUAGCUACUCAAUUUCUCUCAACCCUAGCCGUCCCUUGUCCAAUUUCUCUCAACCACGGCCUCCAUUUUAGGGUUGAGAGUCCAUAACCAUUUACCUAUUUAACUCACCCCAUUCUUCUUCAUCUUUUCUAAAAGAAAACCUAGCUACUCAAUUUCUCUCAACCCUAGCCGUCCCUCGUCCAAUUUCUCUCAACCACGGCCUCCAUUUUAGGGUUGAGAGGGAGAGACUCGUCGGGAUUUCGGGAGGGACGUGCGGGUGGGUGUCCUGUGGCUGAAGCAUCGGUCAGAGGGUUGUUGGGGGGAGGGGAGGAGGGGGACAGAGGGACUGACGGAUUGGAGAGAGAUGGGAGCUAUGGGUUUGGAUUGAGUGAGAGAGAGAUUUAGGUAGGUUAGGGCCUAUGCGAUUUUCUUCGAUUUUAGAGAGAGAGAUGGAAAGGGAGAUAGAAGAUAGGGAGGGAGAGGAGAAAGCAUGGUUGUGUGCAUUUUUUGGGAUUAAUUAAUGGGUUAGUACACAGGGUCAGUGAGGAGAGAAUGACAGAGGGAUGUAUGGGAGGGUAUGGGUUUUCAGUUUUUUUUCCACUGAUUCAACAGGUAAUGCACUGUUUAAAAUUCAUUGUUUAUUGUCUCCUGCUUUGAUUUCGUUGGUUCUUCUUUAGGGUUUUCUUUGGUUGUCUCGCUGAUCUUCCCUACUUUUGGCUUGCUUUUCUUUGUGUCUCAAAGCUUGCUCUUUCGCCACUUCUGAUUUUUCCAUCUUUUUUUUUGCCCAAGUGAAGAGCCAGUGUGUUUUUUUUAUAGUUGGAAAGGAUUGGAUUCCUAUAAAUUUCAUUUUUGGGUCGCGGUUUCUAACUUUUGCUGGGAAAAAAGGGUUGAAAUCGUUGUUGUGCGAUAGGGUUAUCGCAAAAACAGAGGUUCUUUUUUACUCAUCAAAGAUGGAGUGUUCUGUAUCGCCUUUGUUGGUAAUUUUUUUGUUGGUGCUUCCGACCUUUUCCGGUGAGUUUUCUGAUUUUCUUGCUUGCUUAUUCUUAAUCUUUUUUAUUUCGUUUUGGAUUUGUUAGUUUAUCUUUUUUGCAUCUGAGUAUGUGAUUCGAUGUUUUAGAUUGGAUUUUUAUGGUUUUGAGUUUGUGGGGUUUUUUUUGGGUUCCUGAGACAAUGUUAUCCAAUGGUUUUGAUUGAACAUUUUCCCUCAAUCUGUUGCAACUUUGCUGUCGUAGUACCCCUUUGUCAAACUUUGUUUUGUGUUUUUUAUUUUUAUUUCUCUGUGCAGCUUUUGUAAAAUUGAAGUGGGAGUUUGACGGAUGUUGAUCAAGCCCCCAGUUUAUUAACGACGAGAACAACACUGACCCAAAAUUCGAAGAAAAAUUUAAACACAGAAAAGCGUAGGAUCCUGGUAAGUUUUACGGCAGAAUUGGGCAGGUAAUUUUGUGAUUAGCAAUUUAUUUUGUGAAUUGAUUGAUGGGUUUGGUUUCUGGAUUCUCUUUUCUUUGCUGAAUGUCCACAUGUGUAUUUGUUUACAUAAUCAUUGGUUGGUUAUAUGCAUGUAUAAUUACUCUUUAUUAUUUAGGUAAAAUAGUUUUUGUUAGUUAGAGGGCAGUAGAGAACAAGCAAUAAGGUAAACCAUAUGGUUGCAUAGAGAUCAUGGGUACAUAUUUAUUAAUUAGAUUUAACCAAUGAUCAUUGGUUGGUUAAAUGCGUGUAUAGUUAUCCUCUAUUAGUUAGGUACAAUAGUUUUUGUUAGUUACAGGGCAGUAGAGAACAAGUGAUGAGGUGAACCGUGUGGUUGGAUAGAGAUCAUGGGUACAUAUUUGUUAGUUAUGUUUAGUCAAUGAUUAUUUGUUUUGUCAAUGUAUUGUAACAAAUUUCUUUGGUAUAUAGGUGUCUGAUAAAUUUUAACUGUGUGUCCUGGCUGAAAGCAAAUAAUUUUUGUUCGCAAUUGAUACAAAGGCAAAAGAAAAGAGGUAAAGAGUGCUGUUUUGUCCUUUCGAUUGGUUCUAUGUGGUUUUUAAUGUUAAUUGUUCAAAUUAUUUUGAAUUUUCUUUACCCUCUGUUUCAUAUCUUUAUUGCUUAUUUUCCUGGUGUUUAUUGGUGAUUCCAUUUCUUUUGUGUAUGGAGAUUAACUGUGUUUUGUUUGUAGUCAUUGUUGUUUUUAGCAUUUGAAUUAGAAUAAAAAAAAAAAAAAAAAAAAAAAAAGGUCGUACCCAGUGCACAAGGCUCCCGCUUUAC